UUGCAGCCAAUUAAGCCAACCAUGCUCUUUUCCCCAUGGGGGCCCGGUGUGCAAUGGCUGCAAACAGCAGCCUCCUCCGUAGUGUAUGCAGCCUGUUGCCUGUAUGGGUUGCCCUAAGAGACCCUGGAAACAGCC
rnacentral:snoRNA from 1 species